rnacentral:misc_RNA from 1 species
UUUAAAAAUCAAAUUUAAUUUAAAUUAUUAUACAUAUAUUAAGUAACACAACAUAUAUUAGUAAACACAUUUAGUCGCUAUCGCUUUUCUCAAGUUCCAUGAUUCCCUCUAUCAUAGUACUGGAGGGAAUCGUGGAACUUGAGGAUCUGGGGCCGGGUUCCAUAUUGAAGUCUUCAUCUUCCGAUGAUUCAGGAAAAUCCACAUCUGUCAAAUCGUCGCUCUCGUCAGAUUCUCCUACACAUAUAACUAAUUGCUCCGUAAGCACAUCUACGACGUCUUUGUUGCUUCGGCUUUUUUUUUGUAAGCUUCGAGUAUUUUUAAAUCUUUUGAAAAAUAUUGAAACACGUUGAACACCAAAUUUCUCGACUGUCUAUUCAAAGUAUUGCCUUUUCCUCGCGGCAUUUUUAGUCGGUUAAAAAUAGCAAAUAAGUUCAACACAAUAACAAAUCUCAACAAAAACUUAACAAAUAACAAACAACGAAAACUUAACAAAUAAAAAAAAAUUUAAAACAAAGAAACACUUCUUUUCGACUGUAUUCGUGUGCGUCAACGCAGCGAUAGACGAAUAGCGACUGAGCGGCCUGUCACGAGACGCGCGCGCGCACCAGUGGCGUCGC